ACACCCCCCCUUUUAGUGUCUCUCUUUCAGGUCAAAGUGAAGUAGCAGCUCCUUAUUUGGAAGUUGACGUAAGCUUGUGUUUCUUUUGGCAGCAGUCUCGGGCUGCACAGCUGGCAAAGCGGUGAGAGGUAGAGGGGCAGGGUGAGUGGUUGGUGUUUUAAUUUGACCGGAGAAAAGGAGGUGGAGGGGGGGGGUUUACUUCAUAUUUUUAAAACACAGUUUCCCCAUUCAGGUCUCACUUUCCAGCAUAGGUGGAGAGAGCUAUUGCUGCUGAGGAAAAACCCUGGAAAAUUUGAAAACAUAUAAGGACCCGCGUGGAAAAAAAAAAAAAAAGGCACAGCUAGGGAUCUCUGGAGAAUGUCCACACACCACAGCGCGGCGUUCAUGCUCCUGCCAGGGGUCCGGCUGAAACGAGUCCAGGCAGCUCUGACAUCACUCCCCGCUCUUUCAUGCCACGGGUUUCCCCCCCGCCCCCCAGGCUGAAAAGCUUGCAGACGUGUGGAGCACUGAGGGAAUACCAGCCGGUGGCAUGAAGGCAGGCGGUCAGCCGCUCAUCUGGAAAAGGGGAAGCUGAGAGGGGAAUGGAAGAGAGCCCAGGGUGUCCAUCCUGCACCCGGCAACAGAGAGUCCUUGUCUUAAAGAUUAAGUUAAGUAAAGUCUCCGCUUAAACUUCUGAUUGACGCCUGACUGACUGCUGAGGGACGAUCCUCCAUUGACUUGGAGGCGGAUGACAGUGACUGGUCAAUAUCUGAUUUUAUCUAAAAAGGCCAAUAUUGGCAAACGCAUAUAUUGGUCCGACUCUGGUUGGUUUGCGGCGGAGUGUCAGCAUCCAAGCCUAGGACGGUGCUGGCUCCAUCCUGCAGUGCCACAGAGGGAGUUUCUGGGCAUCGUGCCACCUGUCAGAGGAGAGAGAACACAGGCAGUGUCCUCCUCAGCAUCCCAGCUGUCCAGGGCUUCACGUAUGGCCCUUAAACAGCAGAAUCUGUCACUGCCUCCUACUGUACAGGUUGUUCUUUACCGAGUCAGCCUGUAAUGCUUAAUGACCUCUGAAAUGCAUUAUCACUGUUGAAAACAGCAUGUUUGAUGUAGAAUACGUCUGUGGGAGUGCAUUAGGGCUGGGACGAUACACAUAUCUCCCGAUUCGAGACUAUCGCGAUACUUGGGUGCUGAUUCGAUAUGUAUUGCGAUUUUUAAGUAUUGUGAUUCUACAAGUAUUGUGAAUCGUUAUUAUGAUUUAUUGCGAUGAUUUUUGUUAACUUCUUCAACACUAGACCAUGGGUAAAAGUUGAAUCAUACACUUCUAGGGACUUUUAUUUUGAAAAAUAUCUUUAUUAAUACAUUAAAAUACUUGAUUUUCAGUAUGUAUGUAGACAGAGAUGUCCUUAAGUCAAAUAUAUCAGUCAUUGUCAGGAAUUAUUUAU